rnacentral:rRNA from 1 species
AGAGUUUGAUCCUGGCUCAGGAUGAACGCUAGCGACAGGCUUAACACAUGCAAGUCGAGGGGCAGCACAGGUAGCAAUACCGGGUGGCGACCGGCGCACGGGUGAGUAACGCGUAUGCAACUUACCUAUCAGAGGGGGAUAACCCGGCGAAAGUCGGACUAAUACCGCAUGAAGCAGGGGCCCCGCAUGGGGAUAUUUGCUAAAGAUUCAUCGCUGAUAGAUAGGCAUGCGUUCCAUUAGGCAGUUGGCGGGGUAACGGCCCACCAAACCGACGAUGGAUAGGGGUUCUGAGAGGAAGGUCCCCCACAUUGGUACUGAGACACGGACCAAACUCCUACGGGAGGCAGCAGUGAGGAAUAUUGGUCAAUGGCCGAGAGGCUGAACCAGCCAAGUCGCGUGAGGGAUGAAGGUUCUAUGGAUCGUAAACCUCUUUUAUAAGGGAAUAAAGUGCGGGACGUGUCCCGUUUUGUAUGUACCUUAUGAAUAAGGAUCGGCUAACUCCGUGCCAGCAGCCGCGGUAAUACGGAGGAUCCGAGCGUUAUCCGGAUUUAUUGGGUUUAAAGGGUGCGUAGGCGGCCUUUUAAGUCAGCGGUGAAAGUCUGUGGCUCAACCAUAGAAUUGCCGUUGAAACUGGGGGGCUUGAGUAUGUUUGAGGCAGGCGGAAUGCGUGGUGUAGCGGUGAAAUGCUUAGAUAUCACGCAGAACCCCGAUUGCGAAGGCAGCCUGCCAAGCCAUGACUGACGCUGAUGCACGAAAGCGUGGGGAUCAAACAGGAUUAGAUACCCUGGUAGUCCACGCAGUAAACGAUGAUCACUAGCUGUUUGCGAUACACUGUAAGCGGCACAGCGAAAGCGUUAAGUGAUCCACCUGGGGAGUACGCCGGCAACGGUGAAACUCAAAGGAAUUGACGGGGGCCC